CCUCGGAAGACUAUACAAGCAUGCGGGCGUCCUCCCCUACUCCCUCCGCUUCUCACUCCUCGUCCUCCUCCCAAUCCUCUUCAUCAGAUGAGGAGUUUGAGGAUGAUCUACUGGACAUUAACCCUAGCCCUGGUUUUGAUAGCAUGUCGCUGGGAAGCUUUGGGACCUCGGUUUUGGACAGAGACUUGGAUUUUAAUUUCGAGAGACUGGCUAGAGUCGACCAUUUCUAAUUUGGUGUUCACGUAUUGAGCGAGAGAAAUAGAGAACGAGAAAACCACAAGCAGGAAAUGUUGUCUUACUAUUCUGAGCAAAAAAAAAGGGAUUCCGGUAAAGUGAUUUUGUGUCAUACCGUAACCUACCAAGGGUCCCUCCCGCCGAGAAAGAGACUGCAAGCAACAAGCGCUGACUGUUGAACAAAGCGAAAGAAUAACUUGCUUUUUAUUUCAAGGAUCAACUGUCGACUGUUAUUAUGAGACAUGGCUACAAGUAAGCUGAAGUGUUGCCUCGACUGGACAGGAAGAGGAAGAUAUUGUUGCGCCCUGACUAGGAGUGAUCGGGUCCUAUUGAAAGAAACACUCGAUCAGAACUGGAAAACUGUGAUUGAUUUGCACGAUUAUAAUGAUGGCGGGUUUAGGUCAGCUGUACUUUAUUAAUCAAUGUUAGUUACUUAAAAGGGACAUUUUGAGAAACGUUUUAUGAUCGCCAAGUGAACUUCAUAAGACUCACAGAGGUACAGAAAUAGGCUGGCUGUCGGGACAGUUUUUUGUUGUCAUCGAGACAGAUGGAUUUAUGAACCAGGUGGGUUGUUGACCUAAAAGUCAAACCUUUUUUUUUAAAGAUAAACGCAUGAUGUUACCUGUCCUCUCUUUUACUGAGAUGUAUGUUAGACUGUCGAACAGUUGAAACUAGUGUUAGGGUUAUUUAAAUGGAUAGAUGGCGCUAUGUUUGAUUCCUUUCUACCUAAAAGGAACAAAAAAAAAAUCACCAGCUGUUUUAAUUCUUAACUUCAGGAUUCAAACGCAACUGAAAUCUGUGCUGAACUUUAUACACUUCUCUACGAUUCAGGACCAAAAUUAUUUUAUGUUUUUCUGAUGUUAUGUAUAGAGAAAUUCUCACCGAUGUUUUUUCAUCCUCGAAUUUUUUUGUUGUUCAUUUUUUCAGAGGACAUUUUUAUAUGAUGUAUUUAUAUACUGGCCAAAACAUUUUCAACGUAAUUAUGUUUUGGUUUUCUUGUACUGGUCUUGUUAUGAUGUUUUCCCUCACCGUCUGUUUCCUUCGCUGAAAGAAGGGCUAGACUUUUCACUUUUGAUUUUUUAUAUUUAAAUGUAGACUUUUGACACUUAAAGAGAGGAAACAUUUGUUUAUUUUGUCAGUGUAUUUUUGUACAGAUAUAUAUCAAGGGGGUGUCAAUCGGUGUAUAUCGCUGUUUGGAUUUCCUAAUUUUAAAGAUCCAGGUGGCCGGUUAUCUCAUGAAUCGGCCUUCUGUCCAUGUUUACAGUAUCAAUCUGCAGGCUUCUUAAAGACACAGUACCACAUUUCAAUACCCCUUGUGAACAUGCGCUUCAACACACACAGUAUUUUGAGCAGCCACACUUCUGCAUUUCGUUUUAGAAUCUUGCCUAAUAAAGAAAGAUUGUAGCUUUAAAUUACCAAUUUCUUGGCGUUUUUUAUAUCGACAUUCGGGUUUAAAACCACUGGAUGGAACAAUAUAAAAUCAUAUAAAGCAUAUUCAAAUUGCGUAUUUGAGUUCCGCAAACAACAAUUAUGUAGACCUACUGCUUUUCUCAUUGUAUUUGAAUACGUAAUAUUUUCUACUUGUUCGCUAACUCUAGUUAAUUGUUUUAGUAUCUUAUGGCAUGGUGAAUGAAUAGUAUUUGUAUAUCAGAUUCAGGUUAUAGUGUUGUGUUUAAAAAUAAAAAAUAAAAAAAGAGAAGAAAAAUUUGGAAAAAACGUGAAAACAUCUUUGUACAUUUGACUGUGUAUCAUAAGCAAAAAGAUUGUGUGUUUUAUGUGUAGUUAAGCUAUACCAUGACAGGCACUAGGACUGAUCGCUUUCUACUAUCUUUACUUACGUUUAAGGUGGUUGUUCAGGAUUUUUUUUAUAUAUAUAUAUACAGUUUUAAAUAUAUUAACUUUAUUUUCAUCCCAUUUCUGUGCAAUAUGCUGUGUAGAAUAUUGUUUUUGUCUAAUCAUUGCCAUAACAAAAGUUUUGAAAGGGGGGAAAAACUCAUGCCAGCUAAUCGUGUCAAUUCACUGCCUGUCAGAUUGUUGAUAAUCCUGUACAUAACUUUUUUUUUUCAAGAAGGAAAUAAAAAUCAGCUGGAACUGAAACAUAUCCCUCGUCUCUGUCGACUCAUUCUGUCUGAUCUAUAGACGAUUCCUUUUAAAUCAAAACACAACUUUAAUGUAUACAUUGUUGUUUACAGUAUACAGUCAUUGUUAUACUGUACUCCUCUCUGUUGAUGCAUUCUUGACUGAUGUUUGUACAUGUAUAGAAAUGCUGCUUUUAAAACCAUGAAAACAGGGUGUACAUUACUGCACACGCACAUAAUGUACACGUAUACAAAACCUACUAGUGCAUUAGAAGUGCUCCUUUAGGUAAUGAAAAUGGUGUACUGUACACUAGUCAGUGUAGGGCAUUAGUGUGAAGGCUACAAGACCUUAUUGGUAAGCUGUGCUUGUUUGUGAUAGUUUAUAUGGGGAGUGAUAACAUGGAAGACCACACUUCACGCAUUCUCACAGAC
rnacentral:lncRNA from 1 species